rnacentral:rRNA from 1 species
UACGUAGGGGGCAAGCGUUGUCCGGAAUCAUUGGGCGUAAAGAGCGUGUAGGCGGCUCGGUAAGUCCGCUCUGAAAGCCCGGGGGCUCAACCCCCGGGAGGCGGGCGGAUACUGUCGGGCUAGAGUCCGGAAGAGGCGAGUGGAAUUCCUGGUGUAGCGGUGAAAUGCGUAGAUAUCAGGAGGAAUACCGGUGGUGUAGACGGCUCUCUGGACCGCCACUGACGCUGAGACACGAAAGCGUGGGUAGCAAACAGG